rnacentral:rRNA from 1 species
ACGAACGCUGGCGGCAUGCCUAACACAUGCAAGUCGAACGAGACCUUCGGGUCUAGUGGCGCACGGGUGCGUAACGCGUGGGAAUCUACCCUCAGGUUCGGAAUAACUCAGAGAAAUUUGAGCUAAUACCGGAUGAUGACGUAAGUCCAAAGAUUUAUCGCCUGAGGAUGAGCCCGCGUAGGAUUAGGUAGUUGGUGAGGUAAAGGCUCACCAAGCCGACGAUCCUUAGCUGGUCUGAGAGGAUGAUCAGCCACACUGGGACUGAGACACGGCCCAGACUCCUACGGGAGGCAGCAGUGGGGAAUAUUGGACAAUGGGCGAAAGCCUGAUCCGCAAUGCCGCGUGAGUGAUGAAGGCCUUAGGGUUGUAAAGCUCUUUUACCCGGGAUGAUAAUGACAGUACCGGGAGAAUAAGCUCCGGCUAACUCCGUG